rnacentral:lncRNA from 1 species
AGGGAUUACUAUCAGGUUUUUUAAAGGUUCUAAUUCCUCUUAUACCCUCACUUCUUUCCUAAUUUCCCCCUCCCCCCUGAAGUUUUGACCUUAGUCAGUUCCUUGACCCCAGUUUAGUUAAAAUUGACCCUGGUCAAUCAACUUGGGUCACCUUUUAAUCUUAGACUAAUAGGCUCAUGAAAGUUCAGAAUUAGCCAAAAUUAUCAAGGUUCAACACAGAUGCCUUAAUAUAGACUUCCACAUCCAAACAUUAUACAGAACUAUCAAAACAAAGGGCUAGAAGAAUGAAUAUAUUUAUCAACAUUUAAUUUUCAGAAGUGGCUCAAUCAAAAUGCUUUAGAAAUACGAAGAAUGAAUACAUUUAUCAACACUUAAUUUUCAAAAAUGACUCAAUCAAAUUGCUUCAGAAAUACUUAAAAACGAGAAGCACACAUCAAGGGGUGAGUAUUUAGUUCAAGAAUCGACUUAGGAAGCAAGUAAAGGCUACCACUGAACAAUUAAAGACUCAACCCAACAGGUCAACUUAAACCAGUAUCAAUACUAAAAAUCAUAAUUAUGAUGGCAAUCAGAUACUUAGGGGCAAACCAGAAAUCAUAGAAUGAAACAACUGAAGAAUCAUAAGAUGGAUGUCAAUUAACCCACAAAAUAACCAUACUGAAGAAAGAAUUAAGCUUUCAAGAUCAAGGAGCUGAUAUUAACAGGAUAUACAAUUAUUCAAAAGAUGAAGAGAUUUCCAGACUAGUGACAAAACAAAGGCGUAUUGAAACCUAUUUCAAAUGAAAUUGCGGACAAACAGAUAAACAACCAAGAGAAAUCAAACGAAGGGACUUCAAACUAUUAGGCAUGUAACUACUGAACCUAAACAAGUACUAAAAGAAAUCAAACAUUUAACAGCUAAAGAAAUGAAAAUAUACAGAAAAACUUAGCUUUUUCAUGCAUGUCCGUUUAGACUCUUUCAUCAGCUCUUGACCCCUUUCACGGGGUUUCGAACCUCCUAGGACGGUGUACAACCAAUUUUAAGUGUUCAGGAGGGGCUUUCACAGUUCAGUGGAUUUGUCGAACCUCCUAGGACAGUGUACAACCAAUUUUAAGGGUUCAGGAGGGGGUUUCACAGUUCUGAGACCUUAGUGUGGUUUCAGAUUUGGAUUUCAUUGGUGGUUGAGGAUGUUUGGGAGUCAUGGGUGAUAUGGUUGAGGACAGGAGGGACCAGGGAUUGUCCAGGCGUAUUUUGAGCCAUUUCUGACGUGUUUUGUGUUUUAGGGUUAGGCUUCGAAUUGAUAUUCGAAGAGUUUCAGGAAUAUUCGAGAGGGGUAACAUACAUGGUUGGAAAGAGGAGAUUGAGGUGCUUUAGGGGUGUAAGUAUGGGGAGCUUUGGAACAGGGUCGCCGGAGAUAGGGUUUCCGACGACUUUUCAGGGAAUAUUGGAGAUGAUGGGGGGAUUCGAAGGGAUUGGGAUGCAGAACGAGGAAAGGGGUGCCCUAGUGGUUCUGUGGUGUUAUACUGGAAGGGUUUGGAAUAAGUUCGCCGGAGACGGUGGUUCCGACGACCCUGUUUUUCUGAUAUUCGAUACGUAGGGGGCAUGUUCGGCGGAAACUGACAACCAAACGGGAUAGGGGAGGUUGUGAUGGUUUAGUGGUGUUAAUCUGGGGUGGUUUGGUUGCCGGCCUCCAUCGUGAGGAGAUUUCCGGCGGAGGCAGUAGGGUGGUAGGCUGGUGGUCAAAGGGCGGUCAUGGGAUGGUCAAUAGGUGUUGUUAGGUCAGAGAAGACGGUACGAGGAGAGGAGUG